rnacentral:rRNA from 1 species
UACGUAGGGUGCGAGCGUUGUCCGGAAUUAUUGGGCGUAAAGGGCUCGUAGGCGGUCUGUCACGUCAGGAGUGAAAACUCGGGGCUCAACCCCGAGCCUGCUUCUGAUACGGGCAGACUGGAGGUAUGCAGGGGAGAACGGAAUUCCUGGUGUAGCGGUGAAAUGCGCAGAUAUCAGGAGGAACACCGGUGGCGAAGGCGGUUCUCUGGGCAUUACCUGACGUGAGGAGCGAAAGUGUGGGGAGCGAACAGG